UUGUCGACGAGCUUCUCGAUCGGCGCGGGUGAGUCGGAGCCCGGGGCGUUGGGCACGAGGUUAUCCUCGCGGAGCAUGCCGACAGCCUCUAUGGCGAGGUAAGGGCACACGCCGUCAGCUCCGAAUCCCGUCAGGGUGCAAAAGUGGUGCACGUCCCUCGCCUCGGCGCUGUCGAGCAGGAUGGCGACGCGCGUGCGCUCGAGCUUCUGCACGAGGUGGUGGUGCACGGCUCCGCACGAGAGGAGGGAGGACACGGCGACUCGGCUUGGUCCCUGAGCGCGAUCGGAGAUGACCACGCAAGCGACGCCAUCCGCCACGGCUGCGGAAGCCUCCAAUGCGAGCCUGUCGAGCGUCCUCUCGAGCCCCGCGGUGCCCUCAUUGACGUCGUAGGUGGCGUCAAGGACGCGACUGGUCCAGCCCAUGUGGUCCAUGGACUUGAUCGCCUCCAUCUGCUCGACGGUGAGCAGCGGGGACCUUAGCCUCAGCCUGU
rnacentral:lncRNA from 1 species